rnacentral:lncRNA from 1 species
AUGCCAGUUUAUAUGUUCUGAAGAUACAGUGUCUGGUAAAGCAUAUGACGAUGCAAUCCUAGUAUAAACCUUCCGUGUGUUUCUGUUCUGUCUUAGGCAUUAAAGGAUGUGUCUUUUUGGCUACUGCUCUGCUGGAGCUGAAACUUUCCCAAAACUCACAGCUAAGCAGUUCAGUGUGUGUUGCAUGGGACAGCUACAGAAUUCCAAUUACUGCAAUGGACCAAGAAAUAAAAAUACCAAGGGAAGAAGAGGGGCUCAGAAAAGAAGCAGAUGAAGCAUAUUUGGACAUCCUUCCCACAGCCAGCCACAGUCCCCUGUCCUUCACGUGUCACACCACAGUUCUGCCAAAAUGCCUCAACAAAAACUGGGGAGAGGAAAGGGAACCUGAAUUACAAGCAGAGUUUACCAAGCUGGGUAAACUCAAGCUUCUCCCCAUAGCUUCAGUUUCAUGAAGCAAUUGCUCUCCAUCAGUGUAUCAUGAGUGCAUACCAGGAACAGAAGGAACGAGGGAAGGUAAAAGACAGUACUGGCUAGGAGUCAGUAAGUAAAGAACUGGCCAUGGAUGAAUGAAUGCAGGUUGAAAAUAAGGUUUUCAUAUUUUCCUAUCACAGCAGUGACAGUCUUAUUUCUUUCCUUCUCCAUUUUUAUUAAAUCCAUACUAUUUUUGAGCUGGAAAUACACAACUUUUAAAAUGGAUUAUCAGGUACGGCUGUUAGCCAGAGUAAGGCACAGACCUGUGAACCAGACUGCUCCUUCCAAGUCCAUGCAUCAGAGCCUUAUCCGGCAGUAAAAGUGCAAGCCCUUAAUAUUGAUUUUUGACUAAUUGAUAAUCAAAAUAAAACUAGGAAAUGAGCUGAUUGAUGUCUGACC